GAGUCAUUAUAGAAUUGAAGCAAGGGGGUCGAUGGCCUCCUUGCGGGGGAAUAAGGGCACCCCCGAUUUCUUAAAUCCGAACGCACGUCACAACCCACCCUGGGAACUUCUCGGAGAUUGCCUCUUAUACUGAAAGACUGUCUCAUAAAAAUGUCAAACGUGUUGCUUUAUUAACAUGAUUGAGUACUACUUUAAAAACCGAACCUCUUCAAUAAAAAAUCGAAAAAGAACGCAUCAAAGUGCCAUCGAAAUGUGAAUUGAAAUUUUUCCCCUGAAUCAUCCCUUCUUUGAACGCCUGUUUGCAGCCCCUUGGUAACCCCGAGGGGCCUGCCCUGUUUGAGUGUAUUAAACCAUCAACCUCGCCGAUCCCCAUUUAGGCGAGGCUUGGACUUUGGAGCGGGCUGGACCGAAAGGGUUUUUGUCCUCCUUAAAGGAAAAGCGGUUUUGGGGGGGGGGGGGGUCCCCCCCCCCCCGCUAAAUCCUGUGGCGGCACUCGGCCGUAACCAGGUCCUCUCACAAUCCGGUUCAAACAACACAUAUCCAUUUUGACUUCAUUGCAGGUAGGACUACCCGUUGAACUUAAUCAUACCCAUAAGAGGAUGUAAGUU
rnacentral:misc_RNA from 1 species